UCGUUUAUACAUCAAAUUACAUUAACCUCCUACACAAUUUCUCUAGUGUGAAAGACUCACAUAUAUAUCUGUUCUGCAAAAGCGUGCAGUGCCAAAUGCACGUCCGGAAGGAGCUUACAAGCUCGCUUGGUUAUCUUGAGGCGGUGAACCGGAAGCUUCGACCAAAUACAAACGGCAGCAUGGUUUUCCAUCAUCUGGAUGGAUUUGUGCAGUCCUUGGCAGGCGGAGAAGUUUGUUGAAGAGAUUCCGUGGAUCGUGGAGCAGACCGAAAUUCGCAUCUGGAUCACCUAUUUGUGAAAGCUUGACAUGAGAGAAUCCCAAAGUUGGUAAGAGCUGAUCAGGCCAGUCACUGUAAAAGUGGAACACAGAGUUUGGAAGUGUAGCUGAU